UACGUAGGGUGCAAGCGUUAAUCGGAAUUACUGGGCGUAAAGCGUACGCAGGCGGCUUUGCAAGACAGGUGUGAAAUCCCCGGGCCUAACCUGGGAACUGCAUUUGUGACUGCAUGGCUAGAGUUUGGCAGAGGGGGGUGGAAUUCCACGUGUAGCAGUGAAAUGCGUAGAUAUGUGGAGGAACACCGAUGGCGAAGGCAGCCCCCUGGGAUGUGACUGACGCUCAUGUACGAAAGCGUGGGGAGCAAACAGG
rnacentral:rRNA from 1 species